CCAUCAGUACGGAAUAACAUUUAGAAAUAGAUGCUAAUACCGUAUAUUCUCUUCGGAGGAAAGAUUUAUCGCUGAUGGAUGAGCCCGCGUCAGAUUAGGUAGUUGGUAGGGUAAUGGUCUACCAAGCCAACGAUCUGUAGCUGGUCUGAGAGGAUGAUCAGCCACACUGGGACUGAGAUACGGCCCAGACUCCUACGGGAGGCAGCAGUGGGGAAUAUUGGACAAUGGGCGAAAGCCUGAUCCAGCAAUACCGAGUGGGUGACGAAGGCCUUAGGGUUGUAAAGCCCUUUUCAGCAGGGAAGAUAAUGACGGUACCUGACCAAGAAAGCCCCGGCUAACUCCGUGCCAGCAGCCGCGGUAAGACGGAGGGGGCUAGCGUUGUUCGGAAUUACUGGGCGUAAAGAGUGCGUAGGCGGUUUAGUAAGUUGGAAGUGAAAGCCCGAGGCUUAACCUCGGAACUGCUUUCAAAACUACUAAUCUAGAGUGUAGUAGGGGAUGAUGGAAUUCCUAGUGUAGAGGUGAAAUUCUUAGAUAUUAGGAGGAACACCGGUGGCGAAGGCGGUC
rnacentral:rRNA from 1 species